rnacentral:lncRNA from 1 species
CUAAGGUUCUAGUUAAAGCCUACAUUAUGCAUUGAGGUGUUUCUACCAUUCAAAGAGAUAGUUCAGUUUGUGGUUGGAUUACAUACGAUCCAGUUAUUGAUGGUGCUUUCCUGGAGGUGACUGAGGAAAUGAUUGGUUCAUUUUUGCAGAAAUCAGUAUAUGAGGCAGUGUCUGGAUCUUCUAAACUCCAGUUGAUUCCUGUGGACCAUGAAGUUUGGGUCAGGAUCUAGAACCUCUGGAGUUGGAGAUGCAGCCAUUCUGCUCAUGGAGAAGAGAGACUAGGUUUUCUAUAAUACCACCAAGUAGUUCAUCUGAUGGGUGGACAAAUACAUUGAUUCAGCCUCAAACCCACAAUUUCUGCUUGAAAGAAGAUGUGUGAUAUUGUUUGGCUAUGUCCCCACCCAAAUCUCACCUUAAAUUGUAAUAAUUCCCAUGUGUCAAGGGUGGGGGCCAGGUGGAGACAAUUGAAUCAUGGGGAUGUUUCCCAUAUACUGUUCUCAUGGUAGUGAGUAAUUCUCACUAGAUCUGAUGGUUUUAUAAAUGGGAGUUCCCCUGCACAAGCUCCAUUGCCUGCUGCCAUGUAAGGUGUGGCUUUGCUCACUCAUUACCUUCCACCAUGAUUGUGAGGCCUCCUCAGUGAUGUGGAACUGUUCAGCAGCCAGAGUCCUAUCCUGUACUUCUCUUCACGUUGCAGACAUCCACGAAAGAGUGAGACUGUUUUCGGUUGGAUUGAAGAGCAAAUGUGUGGAAGGCACCAAGAGACAGGAUCUCACUAUGUUUCCCAAGUUGGUCUUGAACUUCUGGCCUCAAGCAAUUCUCUUGCCUUGGCCUCCCAAAAUUCUGGAAUUAUAGGCAUGAGUCACCAGAAACGGCCCACUUUAUUUACUUCUGUGAUGCCUAUACAUUGUGUUAUCAAUAAAACUUGAGAUUCUGUAA